AUAACCGUAAAGGAAACGAAAUUUUCUAUAUUUUAUUUAGUCAUUAAAUCAAUUUCUCUUCUUAUAUGCGUAUUUUUUUUUUAAUUUUAAUUUUUUAUAGGUUUAUUUAACGAAAAGCCAUCGAAACAGGAUUCGGUUGUUUUUUUAUUUGUUACCUUUCUUUAUCCAAGUGAAUAAGCAUCUAUAACUACAUUUCAUGUAAGCUCUUAAAUCUUUUACUUCUCAAAACUACUAGAACUGGUUCUAUGAAUGAUUAAUAGCUAUCUUUAUGUCAAAUUUAUUUUAGCUUAAGCAAACCGAAGGAUGGUAGACAUUACAUUUAUCAACUUCGUAAUAUUUAAUACGUAAACCAGAACUAUACGAGUCCGUAAGUUUGGCGUUAAAAAACCAAAUUUUAGACUGAGUUCAAAACGGGACAGCGAUUGUAAAAAGUUAUUAUACAAUCUCUAUGCGAGUCUCAUUCGCUUGUUAUCAGAUUAAGUUUCUGUCAAAUAAAUUUCUGCUUGAUGUGAAAGAUGUUGGUACGGUAGCUUAUCGUUUAAUUACUACCGCAUUCUAGUCUAUCUAAUUAUCAGCUAUCCAGCUGCAGAAAACAUCUGCAACGAUUUAUAAGAGAUAUAACUCCUGACAAAUUGAACAACAUUAUAAUCACCCAAUAUGAACUUGGCUUUCAGAUUUUUAUCACUUACUAUAUCUAGAAUAUUAUACGAUGAUAUAAAUCGCCAUUUUGAUUAUUGCAAACGCUCUAUCAGUCAGAUUCUGUUUAUGGAUGUGAGUGCAUGACUUGCACCUGUUGGCGAGCUAUAUGUAAUGUCUAUAAAUAUGACUGACUUCCGACUUAUGGUAGACAGUAGGUAUUGUAGAUGUAAUAAAACUCAUAAUUUUUCCUCCAGUUGUUUUUCUUUUCGUAAGUAAAUAUCUUCUUAUUUAUUCAUCAAACGUAUCUCUUAGAAAAACUUUUAUAAUUCUAACAAAUUUCGUACAUAUUAUAAAUGGUUUGACAAUAACAGUAACCGUGAUUCAGGCGAGAUGCUAUUGACAGUAACAAUUAAAAGCCAAGGACUCUAAUGCAAAUUAGUUAUUGAUACUUAAAGUAAAAGCAUAUCAUUAAUAUAGAUUUCUAUGGAAAAAUUUAUAGUUAUGAGGCCGUAGCGAUUGUAUAAGAAGAAAAUCGCUAACACACCUACCAUAAAAUUAAUGUCGCUGGUUGAUUGAAGUGAUUUUAACUGUCACAUCACGACCUGUCCCUGACUUAAUGACUCCUGCAUAUUCACAAAGAUGGUGACCUCUCUUUUCGCUGGCGCUAAGCACGGGAAGGUCUCAUAUUUUCUCUUAUUCCCAAGACAUAAAUUAAUUUUUUCAGUUGGUACCGAUGCCUUUUCAUUUUAUAAACAUUUAUUUAUCAGUCAGUAUAUCUUUUAACUUUUUAAUACAGUAUAAUUCUUCAAUUUCUACAAAAAUCCCAUUUCGCGUAUUCAGUAUCUUAUUAUUAUUUUUUCCUCCAAGGAAAUUACUUUCUCACGCAAAACAAAAACAAGAAAAAAAUAUAACAAUUAGUGAAAAAUGUCGAUUUUUAACUGUUUCUCAGGCUGCAAGCGUGUAAAAGGGCAUGCUUUACUUUCUGACUACACUCCAUGCUUUAAUUUAUAAAUAAAGCGAAGGUGAUUUUUUUUAACGGUAAACUGUUUAAUUGAAAAGCGAAAGAGAAAAAAUUAAUUCGUGAAUUCAUUCGGACCUAAUGGAGCGGGUCUUUUGUGCGAAUAUAAUCUGUAGUGGUUCGUGAGAGAAAUGGCUGCUAUUAAUUAUUCUUUGUAUUAAUAACCCAAACCCACCCUUCAUUUCUUGAAUAUAGAGACAAUAGAUGCCGGAAUUUAAUCCUUAUGAAGCCCUGGGGGAUCGUUGUGUACACCAACCUCGUAGAAUAUCUUUUGAAUUAAAGCAGGAGGUAAGCAAUUAUUUAGAAUAAACUCCUCCUUGAUCUUUCUUUCGAGUUUAUCUGAUAAAUUUCCUUAUAACAGAAUAAUUUAGCACAAAUGUAAGCUUAAUUGAAUUCGAUACGACAUAACUAUUUUUAUAAAUUUAAUACCUGCUAUUUGCUUUAAAUUUAUAUGAUAAUCUGACUUGCAAAGAAGUCCAAGUUUCAUAAUUUUGUAUUUUGACAUCAAACUCCU
rnacentral:lncRNA from 1 species